rnacentral:tRNA from 1 species
UGGCUGAGUGGUAAAGCACUUGUUUUCCUAACAGGAGGUCCCUGGUUCAAAUCCUUG